rnacentral:rRNA from 1 species
UACGAAGGGGGCUAGCGUUGUUCGGAAUUACUGGGCGUAAAGCGCACGUAGGCGGAUACUUAAGUUAGGGGUGAAAUCCCGGGGCUCAACCCCGGAACUGCCUUUAAUACUGGGUAUCUCGAGUUCGAGAGAGGUGAGUGGAAUUCCGAGUGUAGAGGUGAAAUUCGUAGAUAUUCGGAGGAACACCAGUGGCGAAGGCGGCUCACUGGCUCGAUACUGACGCUGAGGUGUGAAAGCGUGGGGAGCAAACAGG